UAUAAAACACGUUAGGUACUUAGUUGAAAUUCCCCUCUAAGAAUUUUGAAAAAUAAUCUACAAGUUGAACGAAGAUGAAUAAUCUUCUGUGUUUCGAAAUUAACAUUGGAAUUUAACUUUCGCCUCGGGUUCAGCAUUUGGCGACGGUAACUGAUCGACGUGGUUGUUGUGCCGCUCUGUCAAGCCUGCUUCAGGGCAUUUACCCUAUUAUAAUUAUUCGAAAAAUACGUUACAGAAAAAAACGAUCAAGUUUUUUCGUAAAAGAGGUAAAAUCUUUAAGAUACACCCAGCCAUUGGAUUUUCUCGAUCUACACAGUCUGAGCAAGCAUUAUAGUGGUUGCGUUAACGACUACUCAAGCAAAUAUUCCUAAUUGGAUAGCACUUCAGUAUGAUAUAAUUCAAAUACGGUGCAGGACUAGUAAAAGAAGCUAAUUAGCCAAAAUAGUGAAGGUGAAGUUGCAACAAUUCUUUUUAAACUAUGGUUACAUACUUAUUUUCACAGUAUAUCCUGUGAGCUACCCUGACACAACAUUUAAUAGGGUCGGAUUUACGAACACAGGAGAAGACGCGGAAUAGCGCUAUUAGGGGAAUAAAGUCGGAAAGCGGUUUAACAAUUCUCACUUAUAACCCAGGAAUAGAACAUUCAUAACCUAACCUAACCUAACCUAACUCAGAAAUAGAAUAUUCAUUAAGUAAACUUCGGAGUAAAUUCUUACGUACCAACAAUAAGACAAUAAGGUCGAUGAGACUGCAAAUAAGAAGUACAUAGAACAAAUUUAGUCCUAAAUCACCAAAUAAACUAAUCAUAAAAUUGCAAUUACGGGGGAAUCAAAGUAACUGAUAUCAUGCGGUUGGUAAAGAAAGCAGAAAUGAAAAUUAUUAAGGAGAUUAUGCAAAAGUGCAAGUAAUAAACUUGCUUAUAUGUUUAUAUACAGAAAUUAAAUGCAAAAGAUUAAAU